rnacentral:lncRNA from 1 species
GCUGAUUUCACAUAUUCAUUGAACAUAAAUUGGAGAGAUUGAAAAAGGCAGCCUGGUGGAGGGUUAGAUAUAUACAUAAACACACGACAGGUGCUGAAUUUGAGGAAAAAGGCGGUUGAUUUUACUAUCUAUAUACGCAUACAGAAAUUAUGAAGCAGUGGGGAUAGGUCAAGUAUACCGGGUGCUGUUUAUUACGUAUAUAUACACACAAAAAGCCGGUGAAGGUUAGAGAAGCGACUGCACAGACUGGAAGGCGGUGUCCCCUUGGAAAUUAUUCAAGUUCUAUCAAUUUUUGGUCAUGUCGUUCUACUUUUAUGCGUUUAAUUCCAACAUUAUAUUAGCCUAACUCUUUUCAUGUAUUGGAUGAUGACAAAAUUGUUUAAUUUUUAGUUUUAAUUCGAGACCUAUGUUUUUACGUUAAUUCUUGCGUUGUGAUUU